CAGUCUUGCUAUUCAGGUAGUGCAUAUUGCUGUUGCUACCAACAGAGGGCACUAGACAAGCUCCAUAGCCAAACCCACCUAGUUGGUAGCAAACCUCAGCAGUACAAGAGAGCAGGCAAUACAUUACACAGUACACACACACACACACACACACACUAUAAACAAUUACAUUACACACACCCUGCACCUAUAAUGGGCACAGGGUGACUAAAACAUAAGAUAAAUAAAGCAGCCUACAUAAAUAGUCUGUCUGAAGGUAGACUAGGGGCUUUAAAGCCAAAUACAUGAAAGAGUCAUAGUCACAGG